CUUUAAAAUAAGUGUAAAAGUGGGUGCAGGGGGGGUUGUAGGGUCAGCAAAAAUGAUUUGUAAUUAGAUAGAAGAACAGGUUGGAAAGCCAGACCAAAGAAGGUGAAAGUCCUGUAUUUAAAAUCGAAAGCAACAUGGCUGAUACCUGAGUAGGACGGGACACGUGAAACCCUGUCUGAAUCCGGGAGGACCAUCUCCCAAGGCUAAAUACUACCUGGUGACCGAUAGUGAACAAGUACCGUGAGGGAAAGGUGAAAAGAACUCCAGUGCGGAGAGUGAAACAGAACCUGAAACCGUAUGCCUGCAAGCAGUUGGAGCCCUGCACCCACUUUAAAAGUGGAGGAUUAAAAUGCACUAUGUAUAUUUGUUAGCAAAUAACAAGGGAAAAACAUAGAUUGGAAACACAAGCGAUUUAAAACGAAGAUACAAUGAGCAUAUGAAUAAAGAAGUUUAUAGUACAAGAAAUUCUGAAUAUAAGCUGGUGUAUUAUGAAGCAUAUGCAAGUAAAAAAGAUGCUAUAAGACGAGAAAAACGUCUUAAAGAUGGCAGAGCAAAUAAUGAAGUUAAAAAGCGUGUGCAAGAAAGAAUAAAAGAAAUCUUCCAAGUUUAAAGUGGGUGCAGGGUGACAGCGUGCCUUUUGCAUAAUGAGCCAGCGAGUUAUGAUAUGCAGCAAGGUUAAGCCGAGAGGUGUAGCCGUAGCGAAAGCGAGUCUUAAGAGGGCGUAAGUUGUAUGUUGUAGACCCGAAACCGAAGUGAUCUAGCUAUGGGCAGGUUGAAGCGAGAGUAAAAUCUCGUGGAGGACCGAACCGAUACUGGUUGAAAACAGUUCGGAUGACCUGUGGCUAGGGGUGAAAGGCCAAACAAACUCGGAGAUAGCUGGUUCUCCCCGAAAUAUAUUUAGGUAUAGCCUUGCGUAAUUGACUAACGGAGGUAGAGCACUGAAUGGGCUAGGGGUCUCACCGGAUUACCAACCCCAAUCAAACUCCGAAUGCCGUAUAGUUGUAUCGCAGGAGUCAGAUGCCCAGACAACCAGGAGGUUGGCUUAGAAGCAGCCAUCCUUUAAAGAAAGCGUAAUAGCUCACUGGUCGAGUGAGUCUGCGCGGAAAAUGUAUCGGGUCUAAGCAUGAUACCGAAGCCGCGGCUUGUAUCGAAAGAUACAGGGGUAGGGGAGUAUUGUAUACGGGCAGAAGUUAAACCGUGAGGUUUAUUGGACUGUAUAUAAGAGCAGAUGCUGGCAUGAGUAGCGAUAAAGCAGGUGAAAAACCUGCUCGCCGAAAAUCUAAGGUUUCCUGAGUAAAGCUAAUCUUCUCAGGGUUAGUCGAUACCCUAAGCCAAGGCUGAAGAGCGUAGGCGAUGGGAAACAGGUUAAAAAUCCUGUACCACCGUAAAAUCGAUUGAGUGAUGUGGUGACGCAGAAGGGCAGAUGAUCCGUCUGUUGGAAAAGGCGGUGUAAGCAUGUAGGGAGAAAGAGCAGGCAAAUCCGUUCUUUUAAAAUCCUGAGAUGUGAUGCCGAGGGCGUAAGUCCGUAAAGUCAUUAAUCCCAUACUGCCAAGAAAAACCUCUAGCGAGAUUUUAAGGUGAUCGUACCGCAAACCAACACAGGUAGAAAGGGUGAGAAUCCUAAGGCGCUUGAGAGAACCCUGGUUAAGGAACUCGGCAAAAUAAUACCGUAACCUAGGGAGAAGGUAUGCCCGAAGUACGUGAAAGAUUUUACAUCAGGAGCGGAACCGGGUCGCAGAGAAAAGGUGGCAGCGACUGUUUACUAAAAACACAGGACUCUGCAAAGUCGUAAGACGAGGUAUAGGGUCUGACGCCUGCCCGGUGCCGGAAGGUUAAGGGGAUGUGUGAGGGCAACCGAAGCAUUGAACCGAAGCCCCGGUAAACGGCGGCCGUAACUAUAACGGUCCUAAGGUAGCGAAAUUCCUUGUCGGGUAAGUUCCGACCUG
rnacentral:rRNA from 1 species